rnacentral:misc_RNA from 1 species
CCCUCGGGGCCCAACCUCCCACCCGUGUAUACCGUACCUUGUUGCUUCGGCGGGCCCGCCGCGCAAGCGGCCGCCGGGGGGGCGUCAAACCCCCCUCCCUAGGCGAGCGCCCGCCGGAGACACCAACGUGAACACUGUCUGAAGUUUUGUUGUCUGAGUUCGAUUGUAUCGCAAUCAGUUAAAACUUUCAACAAUGGAUCUCUUGGUUCCGGCAUCGAUGAAGAACGCAGCGAAAUGCGAUAAUUAAUGUGAAUUGCAGAAUUCAGUGAAUCAUCGAGUCUUUGAACGCACAUUGCACCCCCUGGUAUUCCGGGGGGUAUGCCUGUCCGAGCGUCAUUGCUGCCCUCAAGCACGGCUUGUGUGUUGGGUCGUCGUCCCCCCUCCCGGGGGGGACGGGCCCGAAAGGCAGCGGCGGCACCGCGUCCGGUCCUCGAGCGUAUGGGGCUUUGUCACCCGCUCUUGUAGGCCCGGCCGGCGCUGGCCGACGCUGAAAAGCAACCAACUAUU